rfam:Human immunodeficiency virus type 1 gag gene, isolate K31, 5' end.
UUUUUUAGGGAGACUUUGGCCUUCCCGCAAGGGAGGGCCUGGAAACUUCCUU